rnacentral:misc_RNA from 1 species
AAGUCGUAACAAGGUUUCCGUAGGUGAACCUGCGGAAGGAUCAUUAACACGUAUCCAACGUUAAACAACCCUGUGAACCUUGAACGUGCUCCUGCGGCCCCAUGAAAUCAGCAAUCCCUGGUAAAUCAUAGUGAACAGCUUUGAUUCAGAGACCUCUGAAUAACCUUGGGCGGUCGCGGUUGGUAAGGCAAGUGACCCGGUACCCUCAAGACCAGUGUUCAAUGAUCUGUCAGUGUUCAUUGACUGGAAUCACUCGUUCUGUCAGUGUGCGUUUGAUUUGCAAGGGUGGCGCAGUAAACGAUCGCUGGAGGCCGACACGGCCGGCGACUGGGUCAGCGAGCUCUGCUCCCACUGUUACUACUUACAAGAUUUCCCAAUUAGUGAAAGCUAUUGGGCUAUAACUAAACGACUGUUAACAAUGGAUAUCUCGAUUCUC